rnacentral:rRNA from 1 species
UACGUAGGGACCAAGCGUUGUUCGGAUUUACUGGGCGUAAAGGGCGCGUAGGCGGCUUGACAAGUCACUUGUGAAAGUCUCCGGGCUUAACUCGGAACGGCCAAGUGAAACUGUCAUGCUAGAGUGCAGAAGGGGCAAUCGGAAUUCUUGGUGUAGCGGUGAAAAUGCGUAGAUAUCAAGAGGAACACCUGAGGUGAAGACGGGUUGCUGGGCUGACACGUGACGCUGAGGCGCGAAAGCCAGGGGAGCAAACGGG